UGCCAGACUCCUACGGGAGGCAGCAGUGAGGAAUAUUGGUCAAUGGGCGAGAGCCUGAACCAGCCAAGUCGCGUGAAGGAUGACGGCCCUACGGGUUGUAAACUUCUUUUGUCAGGGAGCAAUUGGGUCCACGCGUGGGCUUAGCGAGAGUACCUGAAGAAAAAGCAUCGGCUAACUCCGUGCCAGCAGCCGCGGUAAUACGGAGGAUGCGAGCGUUAUCCGGAUUUAUUGGGUUUAAAGGGUGCGUAGGCGGGAUGCCAAGUCAGCGGUCAAAUACGGGGGCUCAACCUGCGUCCGCCGUUGAAACUGGCGUUCUUGAGUGGGCGAGAAGUACGCGGAAUGCGUGGUGUAGCGGUGAAAUGCAUAGAUAUCACGCAGAACCCCGAUUGCGAAGGCAGCGUACCGGCGCCCGACUGACGCUGAAGCACGAAAGCGUGGGGAUCGAACAGGAUUAGAUACCCCAGUAGCG
rnacentral:rRNA from 1 species